UCGAUUGUUUGAUCAUGGCUCAGGACGAACGCUGGCGGCGUGCUUAACACAUGCAAGUGGAGCGACGAACCAGGCUUCGGCCUGGGGCAAAGCCGCGAACGGGUGAGUAACACGUGGGUAACCUGCCCUGAUGAUCGGGACAACCCGGGGAAACCCGGGCUAAUACCGAAUGUGCCCGCGAGCCACAAGGCUCGCGCGGAAAGGAAGCUUUGGCCUCCGCAUCGGGAUGGGCCCGCGGCCCAUUAGCUUGUUGGUGGGGUAAUGGCCUACCAAGGCAGCAAUGGGUAGCUGGUCUGAGAGGACGAUCAGCCACACUGGGACUGAGACACGGCCCAGACUCCUACGGGAGGCAGCAGUGGGGAAUCUUGCGCAAUGCGCGAAAGCGUGACGCAGCAACGCCGCGUGGGGGAAGACGGCCUUCGGGUUGUAAACCCCUUUCAGUUGGGACGAAGCUUCGUCGGUGAAUAGCCGGCUGGAGUGACGGUACCUUCAGAAGAAGCCCCGGCUAACUACGUGCCAGCAGCCGCGGUAAUACGUAGGGGGCAAGCGUUGUCCGGAAUCAUUGGGCGUAAAGAGCGUGUAGGCGGCCCGAUAAGUCCGCCGUGAAAGUCCAGGGCUCAACCCUGGAAUGCCGGUGGAUACUGUCGGGCUAGAGUCCGGAAGGGGCGAGU
rnacentral:rRNA from 1 species